GUGUUGUAUGAAAGGAGAGAAGGUUAGUACUCCCCUUGACAGGGGUAGAAGAGGCCCUCGGGCCACGCAUACAACAACACACAUACAGCUAAGGCAUUGCCACCUAUUUCGUGGCACCUACCCACUGUUUUUU
rnacentral:ncRNA from 1 species